CAGCCCGGUAAUUCCAGCUCCAAUAGCGUAUAUUAAAGUUGUUGCAGUUAAAAAGCUCGUAGUUGAAUUUCGGGAUCAGACUGUCGGUCGUGCCUCGGUACGCACUGGCAUUAUUGGUUCCUACCUUCUGAAGAACCGCGAUGUCAUUAAUUUGGUGUCGUGGGGAAUCAGGACUGUUACUUUGAAAAAAUUAGAGUGUUUAAAGCAGGCGCACGCUUGAAUACAUUAGCAUGGAAUAAUGAAAUAGGACGUUUGAUUCUAUUUUGUUGGUUUCUAGGAUCGACGUAAUGAUUAAUAGGGAUAGUUGGGGGCAUUAGUAUUCAAUUGUCAGAGGUGAAAUUCUUGGAUUUAUUGAAGACUAACUACUGCGAAAGCAUUUGCCAAGGAUGUUUUCAUUAAUCAAGAACGAAAGUUAGGGGAUCGAAGACGAUCAGAUACCGUCGUAGUCUUAACCAUAAACUAUGCCGACUAGGGAUCGGAUGAUGUUAAUUUUUUAAUGACUCAUUCGGCGCCUUACG
rnacentral:misc_RNA from 1 species